AGGCUUAACACAUGCAAGUCGAGGGGCAGCAUUUUAGUUUGCUUGCAAACUAAAGAUGGCGACCGGCGCACGGGUGAGUAACACGUAUCCAACCUGCCGAUAACUCGGGGAUAGCCUUUCGAAAGAAAGAUUAAUAUCCGAUAGUAUAUUAAAACCGCAUGGUUUUACUAUUAAAGAAUUUCGGUUAUCGAUGGGGAUGCGUUCCAUUAGUUUGUUGGCGGGGUAACGGCCCACCAAGACUACGAUGGAUAGGGGUUCUGAGAGGAAGGUCCCCCACAUUGGAACUGAGACACGGUCCAAACUCCUACGGGAGGCAGCAGUGAGGAAUAUUGGUCAAUGGACGAGAGUCUGAACCAGCCAAGUAGCGUGAAGGAUGACUGCCCUAUGGGUUGUAAACUUCUUUUAUAUGGGAAUAAAGUAUUCCACGUGUGGGAUUUUGUAUGUACCAUAUGAAUAAGGAUCGGCUAACUCCGUGCCAGCAGCCGCGGUAAUACGGAGGAUCCGAGCGUUAUCCGGAUUUAUUGGGUUUAAAGGGAGCGUAGGUGGAUUGUUAAGUCAGUUGUGAAAGUUUGCGGCUCAACCGUAAAAUUGCAGUUGAAACUGGCAGUCUUGAGUACAGUAGAGGUGGGCGGAAUUCGUGGUGUAGCGGUGAAAUGCUUAGAUAUCACGAAGAACUCCGAUUGCGAAGGCAGCUCACUAGACUGCAACUGACACUGAUGCUCGAAAGUGUGGGUAUCAAACAGGAUUAGAUACCCUGGUAGUCCACACAGUAAACGAUGAAUACUCGCUGUUUGCGAUAUACAGUAAGCGGCCAAGCGAAAGCAUUAAGUAUUCCACCUGGGGAGUACGCCGGCAACGGUGAAACUCAAAGGAAUUGACGGGGGCCCGCACAAGCGGAGGAACAUGUGGUUUAAUUCGAUGAUACGCGAGGAACCUUACCCGGGCUUAAAUUGCAUUUGAAUAAUCUGGAAACAGGUUAGCCGCAAGGCAAAUGUGAAGGUGCUGCAUGGUUGUCGUCAGCUCGUGCCGUGAGGUGUCGGCUUAAGUGCCAUAACGAGCGCAACCCUUAUCUUUAGUUACUAACAGGUCAUGCUGAGGACUCUAGAGAGACUGCUGUCGUAAGAUGUGAGGAAGGUGGGGAUGACGUCAAAUCAGCACGGCCCUUACGUCCGGGGCUACACACGUGUUACAAUGGGGGGUACAGAAGGCAGCUACCUGGCGACAGGAUGCUAAUCCCAAAAACCUCUCUCAGUUCGGAUCGAAGUCUGCAACCCGACUUCGUGAAGCUGGAUUCGCUAGUAAUCGCGCAUCAGCCAUGGCGCGGUGAAUACGUUCCCGGGCCUUGUACACACCGCCCGUCAAGCCAUGAAAGCCGGGGGUACCUGAAGUACGUAACCGCAAGGAGCGUCCUAGGGUAAAACUGGUAAUUGG
rnacentral:rRNA from 1 species